GGCCCGUUCGUCUAGAGGACUAGGACGCCGGCCUUUCAAGCCGGAGAUCACGGGUUCGAAGCCCGUACGGGCCACCA
rnacentral:tRNA from 1 species